UAAUAUUCAGGUAGAGUUUUCUAAAUCUAACAGUAGUGAAAAUACAGAACUAGUAACAGAAUACAAUAACAGAAAAACAGUGAUUGAACAACAUCUGGACUGUCAACAUGGAGAGGCAUAUGCUCCUCAUGAUUCUCAUUGUAGUUACAGGUGGAUUUGCUGACAAAAUUGGACCAACAGAAGGAAAUACUAAUAUUAUCAAGGGAGAAGGAGAUUCUGUGACACUGAGCUGCACAUAUGAAACAAACAGCAAUAAUGUGUAUCUUUUCUGGUACAGACAGUACCCUAACAAGGAACCACAGUAUUUACUGCAGAAAUCUCGAUCAGGGAGCUAUGAGAAUAUAGCAGACCAUCGGUUUAAGUCAAGGACAUCCCAGUCAUCAACUGAACUCAUUAUUGAUAAAGCAGCUCUGUCAGAUUCGGCUCUCUAUUACUGUGCUCUUCAAGCAGCCCAGUGAUACAAAAUGCCUAAGAUGCUUUACAAAAACUCAAAUACACAACAUGCUUUAAAGGGUCUUUAAUCAAAUAGCAUCAAACCACAAUUUAUUAUUUUUUUUGUAAACCACAGCUCUGGAAAUAAGAGUGUGGCAACACCUGUGAAUUUGGCAGAUUAUGAAAGGAAUGUGAAACUAUCACUUAACAUUUGCUUUUCUAAAUAUGUUAUUUAAAAUUACUCUAGAUUCAGAAAUCUUUCAGUGAACAAAAUACAUUUAUUUAUUAUUUUUUUUUAAAAUAAGCAAACAAGGAAAUAAAUAAAAAUAUAUGUAUUCUAAAGUAGUUCUCUGUCCACGAUCCUUCAAAGAUUAAGUAAACCUGCAUAGCUAUCAUGUAUAUAAUGGUAAGAGGAGGAGUUUAACACAGACAAUAGCACACAGAUAAGUAACAAUCAAACACUGUGUGAAGCAGAUGCUCUUUGUUUAGGUUGUCCCAGGCAAUUUGUUGAGUGAACAUGUUCAUCUAUAUUAUCAUACUGAUCUCAUUAACAGAAGGUAUACUAUUGCAAUAUAUAAAAUGUAAUUGUGCUCUUUUUUUUAUUAUUUUUGUAAAUAUACUAUAUGAUAUAUUACUAAUACACCAAUAAUAUACUAUAUAAAAUAUCACUAUAUCAAUGUUAUGUUAUUUGUGUAUUUCUAUUACAGUUAA